AUUUUGUUCAUCUAAAUGUGUAUGUUUCUGCUCUAAUUGAAAUUCCUAAAUAGUCACUUUCUGAACUGUCAAAAUUGUAAAGCUGUUGAUGGGUGCAGCUCUGGGGUUUCCAUGGUAACUACUUUCAUUGCCUAGGAGAUGCUGGUCUGCUGAUACUAUCACUGAACUGGCUCAAAUCUUGAAAACUUGGCGGUGCCCAAAAAUGUGGAAGCAUGUCCUGAAAGUUUAACGGGCUUUUAUUUUUAAUGGCUGGCACCAAGCGUGGCCUCAUCAGGGCUUGGGAAGAGGCAGCUCUGUUUCGAGGUUCUUCAUUGUGUAGAGGAUGGGAGCUUUGACAAGCAUGCUAAUACUACCAGAUCCUCUUUGGAUGGUAAGCUUUUAUGUGAAUAGCUCCUAAAUAACAUUACCAUCACUCACUACUACUGGUAUGGAAAUUGAGUUAGGAUAACAGAGCCUGAGUUCCCCCAUGAGAUAACAAGAUGCUUCUGAAUAUAAGUCAAAAUUGGAGUAUAGAUUGUCUCACAACUCUACUGUUUUUUGUUUCUUUUCGUCUUUCUUUCUGUUUUCUCUUUUUGUCCCUCUCUUUCUCUCUUGUCUGAAGAGUCUGGGACGCUGAAGGCUAUAAACAUCAUGGUUUGUUACACACUUUCGAUGUCUGCUCAAAUGUGGUGUACCAUUUCUAAACCACCUCCUGUUAAACCGUUUGUG
rnacentral:lncRNA from 1 species